rnacentral:rRNA from 1 species
GACGAACGCUGGCGGCGUGCCUAAUACAUGCAAGUCGAACGCAGUUGGGACGGGUGAGUAACACGUGGGUAACCUCCCAUCAGAGGGGAUAACACUUGGAAACAGGUGCUAAACCGAUAUUGAUGUAUGGACCCGCGGUGCAUUUGCUACUUGGUGAGGUAACGGCUCACCAAGGCCACGAUGCAUAGCCGACCUGGGCGGGGGAUCGGCCACACGGGUACUGAGACACGGCCUAGCCUCCUACGGGAGGCAGCAGGUGGGAAUCUUCGGCAAUUGACGAAAGUCUGACCGAGCAACGCCGCGUGGGUGAAGAAGGUUUGCGGAUCGUAAAACUCUGUUGUUAGAGACGCGGUAUCUACCCAUAAAGCCACGGCUAACUACGUGCCAGCAGCCGCGGUAAUAC